CAUUGGUUGAUCCUGCCGGACCUGACUGCUAUCGGAUUGCCACUAAGCCAUGUGAGUCGUUGUAGCAAUACAAGGCAUACGGCUCAGUAACACGUAGUCAAUCUAACCUGGGGACGGGGAUAACCUCGGGAAACUGAGGAUAAACCCCGAUAGAUCAUUAUGCCUGGAACGGUUUAUGGUCCAAAUGAUUCGUGUGCCGUAGGAUGGGACUGCGGCCUAUCAGCUUGUUGGUGAGGUGAUGGCCCACCAAGGCUAUUACAGGUACGGGCUCUGAGAGGAGUAGCCCGGAGAUGGGUACUGAGACACGGACCCAGGCCCUAUGGGGAUCCGCAGGCGAGAAAACUUUGCAAUGUGCGAAAGCACGACAAGGUUAAUCCGAGUGGUUUCUGCUAAAGGAACCUUUUGUCAGUCCUAGAAACACGGGGUAAUAAGGGGUGGGCAAGUUCUGGUGUCAGCCGCCGCGGUAAAACCAGCACCUCAAGUGGUCAGGAUGAUUAUUGGGCCUAAAGCAUCCGUAGCCUGCUUUGUUAGUUUUCGGUUAACAUUAUACGCUUAACGUAUGGGCUGCCGGGAAUACUGCAAAGCUAGGGAGUGGGAGAGGUAGACGGUACUCGGUAGGAAGGGGUAAAAUCCUUUGAUCUGCAGAUGACCACCUGUGGCGAAGGCGGUCUACCAGAACACGUCCGACGGUGAGGGAUGAAAGCUGGGGGAGCAAACCGGAUUAGAUACCCGGGUAGUCCCAGCUGUAAACUAUGUUAACUCGGUGAUGCAUUGGCUUGAUGCCAAUGCAGUGCCGCCUAGGAAGCCGUUAAGUUUGCCGCCUGGGAAGUACGUACGCAAGUCGUUGUG
rnacentral:rRNA from 1 species